UUGUGUAAAACUUUACAAGGUAGAGUGAGUUGAUUGGAAGUAAGUUUUACUGCAUUUUGAAAAGGUUUUCCAGUGACUCGACUACAAGCUUCGACAGGGUUAUAGCCUUCAAAGACAGGUGUAAUCAUAUGAAAAUAAACUUGAUUUUCACAAUCGUCUAGUUCGAACAUCCUUCGAAUGAGGCUCCUAGUAAUCUUUACCCUCUUUCCUUUGAGAAAACAAGUUAUGCCCGUUCUCGGAGUAUAAUUCUUUGAUAAGAUUCGAGUAGACAUUUUCUUCUAAGGUGGCAACAGAUAUCCAACCCAUUCUCAUGAAAUAUUCCUCGAUUUGAAAGGAAUGAGCAUCGAAAGUAAAAGAGGCAAAAUCGACACUCUUACCCAUAAGAAUUGGGCAUUUGUCAAACUUAUUCUCCUUCUAUGCGGGUUCUUCUUCGGAUGAGGGAGUCCGUUGUAUUUCUGUCCUCCUAUUGCGCUUGCCCGGAAUCUUCAAUCGAUGCAUAGUGUAUAAAUCGUAUUUGAAGAGCAAGUGUUCAGAUAACCAGUUUGAAGUGAUUUAUGGAUGGAAAUGAGGGAUUUUGAGUGUGGAAGAGAUGGGUUUUUGAAUUUGUAUGGAAUUUUUUUGGAGUGAAGGUUGGUUUUGUGGGUUUUAGAUGGGGUCGAAAGUGGAGAUGAAGAAAAACGAGAAACACUUCGAAAAAGUGCAGAGUUUUGGUCCUUAAAAUCUAGAAAAUCACGAGACCGGUCGACGAAUGUAUGGACCGGAUCGAAAUAAACGGAUGAAAAAUGGACCAAAUAUUCUGUCCUUUCGGAUGACCAAACCGGUCGUCCGACACUGGACUGGAUGAUUAAACAAUUGGGAAUCAUCUUGCUCCUAUGAAGCUGCAGUAGCCAUUGUUGGCUGGCUGCUUUUCGGGUUUAUGCUGCAAGAAAGAAUGCCUCUUCCAGUUAGAAGAUAAGGACAAGUAGACCAUAUCACUUCAACAUUUUCUUUUCUAAGUUCCUGUGAACCCUCAUGGAAGAAAGCAACUGAGAUGCUUCUGGACGUUGCUGGUCAUGGGGAAGCCACUGGUUACGAAAUGCCUAGCCUCAUUGUUGCCGCUAUCGACGAUCUUGAUCCUUGAUUCAAGAUUCAACAAGGGCAUCUUCUACAGUAAGUUAGGACAUGGGAAUUGAGGCUUCUAUUCCUAUCAGCACAAAGCUGAUGCAGCAGAGCACUCUCAUUUGAGCAUUCCUGAAACUGCAGCUGGAAAAGGCCGUAAGCAGUAUCACAUAUUUGGUAAUCGCUCUCUUAUGUUUGUAUCAGGAAACAAACUGCAACUGAGGUACCCGACCUAAUCGAACUGUAACAAGUUGGUCGACCUCUCUAACUAGAGCAAAUGGAUCCUGGAUAAGGAAACAUUGACGUAUCAACUUUUGAUGUCGAGACUUGCUAAAACUUAACAGGUUAGAAUUGAUUGCGUAAAGUCUUCUAUUGCGUAAACUUGAAUCUUUGAUGUGCUUUCUCAUAUCUUUUUGGAAGCUAACAUAAUUUACAUGAAGGCAUUUUAAGAUUUUAAAAUCAAUUCAUACUGUUGAUCUCCUAGCUUCUCUGAAUGCAUUUUGCUUAUAGAAAGCGUGACUUUAUUAUUUUGAUUUCGACUUACAUACACAAUUCUUGAGUUUAAUCAGAUGAAACUGGAAAAUGGAACGGGACCAAGAAAGGUACAUUCAUGUUGGUCAUUAAACACUAUCUUCCGAUGCUUUCAGACAAUUGACUGCAAAAGGUUGUUAUUACCUUGAAGCACCAAUGUCGGUAGCAAAAAAACUGCUGAAGAUGGUAAAUUGGUGAUUCUUGCUGCCGGAGAAAAUGUGAAUAUUCAUGUUUCAUUUGUCAGUUCAAUUGUUGAUGUCCUAAGGCUGACAGUGAAAAUCAUAUUCUAUUGGUUUAUUGAAAGGGAUUUCAAACUAUUCUCAGAUUGAGUUUCAAAAGGAAUUGAAAACAGUGGGAUGCAUGCCUAUUUUAUAUUCCUGCUUUCUUUCUUGGAAAGAAAAUGUUUGUUUCCCUUGUAUCACCCUUUGCUUAAUGACCAUUUCCUUCCUCCUACCAAAGAUGGUGCAAGUAUCAGAAAGAUAAAGGGAGCAUCCAACGACGCCGUAUACAAAUAGCCAAGAGAUUUUUUUCUCCAGCUACACUGCCGCAUAAUUGCUGCGGCAUAAAUGGAAGAAUUUGAAGUCUAAUGAACUAAAAUUCCUUCUUAGCUUUAUAUGCGAUCAGAUUAGAAAUGAAAGUGAUAUGAUUUAGGCUCCUGAAGGAACCUGUAGAAGGCCUCUUUAUUUAAAAUAGUGCACAAUCCAUAACAGUUAAUUUCUGGACAAUGAGUCAUUAAAUUUAGAUUCAUUGACUUAUAUUAACAUGAAUGUUUCUUCAACUAUACAUAAAUUGCAGUAACUCGUAACAUUUGAAAUACUCCAUUUUUACCUAUUCAGUUGGCCUAUAGUUAUGUUGUUUGCAUGCUUUCUUGGAUUUUAAUAGCUUUUAAAAAUUCUUUUGGAUCAAAUUUUUGGAUGCAAAGUUAUUUUCUUCUACAAUUGUAACAAUACAUUUGUUAAUAAUUUAUUCUACUAAUUUAUAAGUGUGAUUCUCAUAUUAUUUGUUUUUUCUUUCUGUGUUUUUCAAAAUAAAUAUUAAAAUCUUGCAUUAAAACGUGAAUUAGAGGACAACUCAAUGUGUCUUGAAUUUACUAAUCUUUUUUUUUUUUCUUUUUUUUUCUGGGUAACUUAUUUUGUAUAGUAUAAGUACCUUAAUCUAGAGUGCAGAUUUUUUUCCCUUUUUUUUUGUGUGUGUGUGUGUUUUCAAUUUCCAGGCAUCGGACGAGCAUUUGUAGCCUCUGCCACCAGACCUCGUAUUCAGAAAACAGUGAGGAGAUGAAACAGCAUGGUGAGUUAAAGCAAUUUGAUGUUUUGUGUCAUUUACUGAAUAAUUGGUUGAAUUGUCUCUCGCCAUUCGGGAUACAUUCAUUAUAUAGAUGAAUAUUACAUACAUGGUUAUAUAACAUAAUUUUAGGUAAAUUGUAAUUACUACGUAAAAUACAACAUGCAUAUAUAUAAAUAUGGUAAUAAACCGUAGUCUUCAUGAUUAUCGAAAUCUCCGUGAUCUCAAUCGCAAUCUCAUUGGCAUCUCCCCAAAUUAAUGCUGGACGAUCAAGAAGCAUCAAUUUGUCGACAAGGAAUUGAUGACGCUGUCGAGUAAUUACCUUAGUAAACACAUCAACGAUCUAAACGUCAAUGGUGAUAUGUGGAAGAGAAAUAAUGUGACCAUCAUAAGCCUCACGAAUAGAGUGACAAUCUACCUAAUAUGUUUAGUGCGCUCAUGAAAUGCAGGAUUAGUAGCAAUUUGAAUGGCAUUAGUAUUAUUAACAUAAAGUGGAGUAGGCUGAAACUAAGGACAACCAAGCUCUGCUAGAAGGCCCCGUAGCCAAAUAAUCUCAUAAUAGAUAGAAGACAUAGCAUGAUACUCAGAUUCAGUGGAAAGUUUAGAGACACAAUCCUGGUUCUUGUUGCUCUAGGAAAUUAAUGCAUCCUCAAGAAAUAUGCACCAACUUAUAAUCGAGCAGCUAGUAUCCGUACAUCCAACCUAAUCCACAUCACUAUAUCUAAUCAACUGAAGAGAUGAAUUUGUAGGAAAGAAAAGACCCCUAUCAGGUGUGCCCAGUAAGUAUCGUAUAAUGCGACAAAUCGCAGUUAGAUGAAGAUGUCGUCAAGUAUGCAUAAACUGAUAGACUUGUUCGGCAAAAGAGCUAUCUGGUCAAGUAGUAUUGAGAUAAUUCGGGCUACCCACUAACUGGCGAUAUAGAGAGGGAUCGAGAAGGAGAUCACCUUCGUUCUUACGAUACUCCACAUUCACUUCCAAAGGAUUAUCAACCAAGUGACUGUCCCUAAGUCCAACUAAAGUAAUCAAUUCCUCCAAAUACUUAUGCUGAUGUAGAUAAGUUUCGGUUAGACUUGAAAGCACCUUAAGACCUAAGAAAUACUGCAAGGGGCCCAAAUCCUCGAUUUUGAAGUUGAGAUAACAAUCCGGAGUCAAUUCCAGUAAUAACAAUAUCAUCAACAUAGACCAAAAGUAACACAGUAUCCGCUUUGGUGGUAAAGAUGAAGAGAGACGAAUCAUAUUUACUCUGGAUAAAUGAGUUGCCAAAAAGAGUAGGUAUUUUAUGUCGUUUCAAAGCAGUUCUUACGCUUCCAGACAUGAGAGGAGAGAUCUUAGAUGUCAGUUACCCUUCUCAAUGGGUCUUAUUUUCAGCACCUUACGUGCUACGGGUGAUAUGUUUUUCUUGUGUAGAUGCCAAACCUCUGAAACUUUUCAUCGGGAAUAGCCAGCUUGCUUACGAAGGACAGAAAAGACACAUGAGUGCUUGGGUCGAGUUAAGUAAAGACUGGCUACCUAUAAAUAUUCCAUGCGGCAUACUUUCUAUAUCUCUUUCUACUCUUCAUUAUUAGCUACAUCUAUAUUAAUAGACCACUAAUGACACUCUUCAUUGGCUACCAACGAAAUUUGUCAAACCAAGUACGAAGAGCCUGCUUCAACCCAUAAAGCGAACGCUUUAUUUUACACACAUCGGAAGAUGGUAACAAAAAGAGACCUGCAAGAGUUGUCAUAUAAAUAUCUUCCUUAAGGUCACCAUAUAAGGAAACAUUCUUGACAUCCAUCUGUCGUAAAGACCAUCUCCUAUAGGUAGCUAUAGCCGAAAUAAUCAUUUUGGUAAUAGGGGCAAAGGACUUCUCAUAAUCCACCCCAUAUUCUGGACGAUUCUCAAGAGCCACCAAACUAGCUUUAUAAUGCUUUAGUGAUCCAUCAGAUCCGAGCAUAACAAAAUAGAUCCAUUUGCAACCAAUAGAUCAGAUAUGAGGAAGGUAAGGAACAAUGUUCCAUGUGUGACUUUCUUGAAGAGCUUGAACUUCCACUUGCCUCGCUUUCUCCCAACAGGGUUGAGUAGUAGCCUGAGAAUAAGAAGUAUGAACUGUGAAAUGACAUAAGGUUGCAGAGAAGCCAUAUCGAUCAGAAGGAUGAGUAACACAAGUAGAUCGCCAAAGAAUCACAGAUUUUGGGAUGGAAUCGGGAUCGGGAUAUGGAUUAGAAUCGGGAAGGGGGUAGUCGAUUUGGUGGCUGUCAUCUUUGAUAAACCAUACCUGGUUUAAAGCGCUUUACAAAAUCGAAGUUAUUUUCAAGGCUAAUAAGCGGAGCCAAAUUAGGAGAUGAAACAACAUGUUGGAAGUAGUAUUGAUUCUCAAAGAAGACUAUAUUGCGAGAGAUAUGAAAACAAUUUGCAAAACCAUCAUAACAACUAAAGCCUUUUUGAGCAAUGUUGUAACCUAUGAAAGCACACCGUGCGGAUUGAGCACUAAGCUUAUUACGUUCGUGAGGAGGUAAAUGGACAAAGUAGACACAACCAAGUAUGCAAUAUGUUAUAGUUAGGAUGUGUACCAUACAGAUGAAAAUAAGCUGGUUCAAAAUCAAAUGCUGAGCAGGAAGUCGAUUAAUCAAAUAUAUAGCUGUAGAAAGGGCUUCGACUCAAAAUUUGGGUAGAGCCGAAGAUUCCAAAACCUAAACUCUGACAACGUCUAAUAGAUGAUGAUUAUUUCUUUCUGUCACUCCAUUCUACUGAGGGGUAUAUGGACAAGAGCAUUAAAAAAGAAUACCCUUUUGUUGUAAGGAGAAUUGAAAUUGAUAAGACAUAUUCUCCUACCGUCGUCGGACCUCAAUAUUCGAAUACUGGAGGAGAUUGUGUCUCAAUGUAAGCUAUGAAAGUUUGAAGAAAAGUAGAGACGUCACUUCUAGAGCGCACAAAAUAUAUCAAAGUGUAACGACUGAAAUCAUUAAUAAACAUCACAAAAUACUUAUAAUGAGCAUGCAAAGUCAAAGGUACCAUAUCCCAACAUCACUAUGAAUAAUUUCGAAGCAUUUAUCAGCACGACUUCCAUGAGUUGGGAAUGGAAGAGUCUUACUUUUUCCAAGUUUACAAAUAUCACAAUUGAAAGACAAAUCAGAAAAUUGGAACUUGUCUUUAUUACCCCAAAAAACCACUCUUCAAUAAAUGAGAUAAAUUUAAAGUAUUGGGAUAACCCAAGUGUUUUUGCCUAACUUCAUGUUUACAUCUAUCACUAAUACAAGCCAAAGACGUAGCAUGGGGAAUAAUAAACUGUAGUGGGAACAAUCUUCCGACUUUAUGCCUCUUCGCGAUCACCUUUCUCGAUCCCUAAUUUUGCACAAGACAACCAUACAAGAGAAACACACAUCACAGUUAUUAUCAACUAAUUGACCAAGUCCACUACUGGUUUUUGUAUAUUUUGUGUGAUUCUCUUAUCUCUUGGAAAAGUAAGGAGCAGCUUGUUGUUUCCCGCUCCUCUACCGAGGCAGAGUAUCGAGCUAUGUCAUCUACUACCACUGAGAUUGUAUGGUUGCAAUGGUUACUUGCAGACAUGGGUGUUCCUCAUUCUUUUCCAACCCUUAUGUAUUGUGAUAAUACAAGUGCUAUUCAGAUAUCUCACAACUCUGUGUUCCAUGAGCGCACAAAGCAUAUUGAGUUUGAUUGUCAUUUGAUUAGCCACCAUCUGCAGACUGACACUAUUUCCCUACAUUUAGUUUCCUCAUCGUUGCAGCUUACUGAUUUCUUCGCUAAGUCCCAUCCAGUUCAUCGUUUUCGUUUCUUACGUGACAAACUCUCGCCACUUCUUGCUUUCGCAUCGUGAGUUUGAUAGGGGAUGAUAACAUAAUAAUAUAUUUAGCAUAAUCAUAUAUAUUAGUUUCCUUAUUGUUUUAGUUUCCUAAUUUUUGUAGUUUUCCUUAUACUAUAUAAACUACUUUGGUUCAUAAUGUUACCCUGAUUUUUGUGGC